GGAAAUGGUGCUGGGAUUGAGCCGCAUACUCAUCUCAAGGGAUACAUACUUGGAAACCCAGCACCGACCACUCAAGGCGAUGGAAACCAUGCAAUCCCGUUUGCUCAUAGGAUGGCGCUAAUCUCUGAUGAACUCUAUGAGUCCUUGAAAGCGACCUGUAAAGGAGAAUAUGUAAAUAUAGACCCCAGCAAUGCGCCCUGCUUGAAGAAUAUCCAGGCAUACAAUAAG